rnacentral:rRNA from 1 species
GAUAACGCUGGCGGCGCACAUAAGACAUGCAAGUCGAACGGACGUUAACCAGUUAGUUUACGUAUUGGAGCGGUUAGUGGCGGACUGGUGAGUAACACGUGAGCAACCUACCUAUCAGAGGGGAACAACAGUUAGAAAUGACUGCUAAUACCGCAUAUGCCUUAGUAACACAUGUUACAAAAGGGAAAGAAGCAAUUCGCUGAUAGAUGGGCUUGCGUCUGAUUAGCUAGUUGGUGAGGUAAUGGCUCACCAAGGCGACGAUCAGUAGCCGGACUGAGAGGUUGAACGGCCACAUUGGGACUGAGAUACGGCCCAG